AUGAAAAUAUCUGUACUUUGUGCUCACUUUUGCUGUGAGUCUCAAACUUCUCUAAAAAAAGUCUACUUAAAAACAAAAACAAAAACAAAAAAACAUAAAGUUAAAGGAAGCUUAUGCUCAUCAACAUCUUAGAAGCCCCCAGAAGGUGAACUGAAAUUUUCUUUCUCUAAUUCAAAAUGAAUUAAUCUCUCUGAGAAUCUCUGGGCCCAAGGGAAAUAUCUCUCUAGUUUCACUCACUAGUUAUCUCAUUUGAUGAGCAUUUUUUAAAAAGCUAUAAAUUCAAUUAUUUUAUUGCACUUGACUAACAUUUGCUUCCCAUUUACCUCUGGGUUUGAAGUUUGAGGAAGUUCAAGAAAGAUUUGGUGAGGAGUUCUUUAAUAUAUUCUUUGAUGAGAAUGAGAGAGUCCUUUGAGCCAUAGGUGGCACAUUGCAGGACUUUUUUAAUGGCUUUGAUGCUUUGUUGGAACACAUCAGAACUUCUUUUGGGAAACAGGCCAUGCUGGUGUCCCCAUCGUUCCUUUGCAAGGAGCUCCUGGAGGGCACCCUUCUGCUUCACUACUUCCGUCCUCACCACGUUGUGGGCUUUGCAAUGCUGGGCAUGAUCAAGGCUGCAGGAAAGAAGAUCUACCAGCUUGAUGUGGCCAUGGAGCAGGUGGCCAAUGAGAAACUGUGCUCUGAUAGAACCCAGGCAAUUUUAGCUGUCUUACCUUCCUCAUCAAAGAAUGUGACAAUACUAACACCAGGAAGAACCUUCCCCGGGGAGUCUCCCAAGUCCCUGCGGACCUCAGAAUCAGCAUCAGUACCUUCUGCAGUACCUUCCCUUUCCAAUUGAUAUUUGACAUCCACAUGCCCGUCCUACAGCUGGGGGAAGGCCUGUGGAAAUAGCUGUGGCGCAACAGCCACAAAAUGCUAAGAGGACUGCUUCGAGAUCGUUUCUCCAAAGGUCAGUGCCGCCUUUGAGAGGAUCCUGUUGUGACUGUCCACCCGGUUUGUGAUCAGGACCAAGCCUGAGGCUUCUGGCACUGAAAAUAAAGACAAGCCAUUGCUUACCCAUAUGAUUAGAGGCAGAAUGUGUUUGUGUGCAGUUUGGUGAAAUACUAAUGGAUCAGAAAGCCAUCAUCCUAGUUCCAGAGAACUUGCAUCAUGAUUGUGCAGUAAUGAGUUAUGGAGACCAGAAGGGAGAAUGUCACUGAGAGGCAUCAUAUGCAGUCAUCAGUGGCAGACUUCAAUUCAGCAGACUUUAGAGGUCAGGAGGGACUCUUCCAGGUGGAUUGAUCCAACUUGGAGUCCCUCUAUUUGGCUCCCUCUGCAUCUUCUAAGUGAUCAUCUAUACCUUACAUAGUCUCCUCUCUCUAUUUUCUUCUCUGCCCAUGUGGCAUUUCUGUAUUUUUAUCUUUCCUUAAAGCUCACCUUCUUUUCAUCACGUUUCUUUAUCAGAUGUCAGACAUUAAAUAUGAAUGAAUUAGUUCAUUAUUUAAAAAAAGAACAGAUACAGUAUUGGGAAUUAAUGGUGAAUUAUGAAUCUCUUUUAAUUUGUGCAUGCAUCUUUAGGUCAUUCAAAUCUAACGAUUUGGAGAAUUUGGAAGUUUUUCACAUCAGUCUUUGGAGGCAUUGUGGUGAUUUUUAGAGGAAAUUUCUUGUAGUACAAUGUGCAGCUUGGGGCAUUACAUCCAGUGCUGUGAAUCUAAUGUAUUGACACAGAUUCCAAAGCUUCUUUGUAUGAAAGGGGCCAUGUGUGUAAAGAGGGCUGUUAGAAACUGGAAAAAUGGCCCAUGGCUUCCUUCUCCACAUUAUAAAGUAAUAGUGUGUGGGAAAGUGGAGGUAGCCUGGGCGAGAGGCAUCUGAGACCUGUGAUUUUAGUAAAUCCCUGUAAUCUGAGCCUCAGGUUAAUUCAUCUGGAAAUUAAGAAACCCAGAUGAAUAAUUAGCAUUUAUACUCCUUAUUAAGUCAUCUUUAACAUGUGUAAAUUUAUAGGAAGUCCGUGGGUCAUGAAAGUUGCUAUCAUCCCUUUGAUUCAAUGAAUUCAGGCAAUUUCAAAGAGAAGCAGAGGGGAAUCUGACUUUUCAACCAUGAAAAGUCAUGCUCUUAUCAGGACCGACUUAAAGUAAUUCUCUGACAGCUUAGGCUGCCUACCUCAAACACUUUUUUGUAAGGAUUAAAUGACAAUCCAUGUAAAAUUUUUCUAUCUUCAGCUUCAGUGUAAGCCAUGAUUAUUAUUUUUGCUCUUCACACUUGUAACCUCCUUCCUAUCUGUUCUCCUCCUCACUUAUGGCCUUAGAAAAGAAGUACUGGACAUCAGUAGGUUUAAUAAUUUUAAAGAAAUAUGAAACCUGCUGGUAUAACAUCUCCCUAAAAUAUGACUUGGGGAUCUGCUUUUUUUCUUUAUAAACUGUUCUUGUUUUAAAAUCCUGAGUCUCCUUUUCAGAGUCACUGGAGUUUGGAAUCAAGUUUUUACUACCUGAGUCUACUAAUACCUUUUAUGUACACACGUUAUAGUGCUCUACUGUGCCAGUGGCUUCCAAGAUAAAACCAACUGGUUAGCUUAGGCACAACCUGAAAUAGCAGUGGAUUUGAGAAACAAUAAAUAACAUGAGUUCCUUUGACAUUUUUUUCCUAGUAGCAACGCUUCAAAGAACUUUAAUAAUACUGUGGAAGGAGUCCAGAUUUUGAAAUACAUCAUCCCUACAACAGAGAAAUGGCAUUUUCACUUGUGUUCUCAGAGUUGGAACUGAGGAAAAGCAUGAACAGUAACGCAUUUCUUUUUCAAUCCCUAGAAAUAUCCUCACAUUUGUCUUAUUAAUUAGAAGUCACAAAACAAAUUCUGGGAAAUAAUUUUAAGAGAAUACAGAAUUAACCUCUGAUUUUCUGUGAUCAGAUCAGCUUCCAGCCUUCUUUAUCUUGCCUAGACAUGUGUCCAUUUUCUUCUGACACAAUGAUUGAAAAGUUGAAAAUAUAUUUAUUAAUCUUACCAUGCUGUAAUGACAUUGUUGAAAGACAAAUUUCACCUAUCAAGAAUAUAUCACUUGACUUCAUUUCAGGUUAGUGUGGGAAAAUGUGAGGUUUUUUUUUCUCUCUUCAGACUGACACAUUCUGUUAGAGAAUUUCAAAUAUUGGAUGAUAAUUUUAAUGAUGGAAAAAAUGCCAUUAGGUCUUUCUCUAUAAAUUAGCAUUAUACAACAUAGGUGUAACUAUGUCUAUGAGUCACAACUAUCUGGAGUUUGCUUUGCUCUUGUAGUUAUAAAUGAGAUCUUCAAUUUUUGUGGGUUUUUUGUUUGUUUGUUUGUUUGUUUGUUUGUCUUUUCUCUGGAACUGCUUCCUGCCCAUACACUGCCUUUUAAAGUAGGUUGGACAAAUUUGGAUUCUGACUCUGGUAUUGCUGAGGCUCAUUCUGGUUCUUUCAAUCUUUAAAUGCCUGUAAUGUUAAAAUGCCUGCAUAGUGCCAUGCUACUGUAUAGUUACUGUAUUCUGUAAAGAGGACAAGGUAUUUGUUACAUGGUGAAUUAUAUAUUCAUUAUAGUGACCUCCAUGCCUCAAGUGCCCAUUUUACUGUUGGAUAGGUGAAUAAAGUAUGCCAAAGAUGGCCGAUGGGGUGCAAACAAACUCUGGUGUCUAGCUUAGAGACCCCUCCUCUGUGUUCUUCUUCCUUUGUUUGCUGAAUGCACAAAAAUCCCCACAGAUAGGGAAGCUGACAGCUAUAAAUUACCCUCCCCACUUGCAUUUGGAGCUCAGAUCUUUGGAAAAACAGUCUCCUCUGAACCCACCAGUGUUAAAUAAAUCUCUGAUUGACCAA